rnacentral:rRNA from 1 species
UACGUAGGGGGGCGAGCGUUGUCCGGAUUCAUUGGGCGUAAAGAGCUCGUAGGCGGCUUGGCAAGUCGGGUGUGAAAACUCCCAGGCUCAACCUGGAGAUGCCACCCGAUACUGCUAUGGCUUGAGUUCGGUAGGGGACCACGGAAUUCCUGGUGUAGCGGUGAAAUGCGCAGAUAUCAGGAGGAACACCGGUGGCGAAGGCGGUGGUCUGGGCCGACACUGACGCUGAGGAGCGAAAGCGUGGGGAGCGAACAGG